UACGAAGGGAGCUAGCGUUGUUCGAAAUCACUGGGCGUAAAGCGCACGUAGGCCGGCUUGUAAGUCAGGGGUGAAAUCCCCGGGCUCAACCUGGGAACUGCAUUUGUGACUGCACGGCUAGAGUGUGUCAGAGGGGGGUAGAAUUCCACGUGUAGCAGUGAAAUGCGUAGAUAUGUGGAGGAACACCGGUGGCGAAGGCGGCGACCUGGGACAAUACUGACGCUGAGGUGCGAAAGCGUGGGGAGCAAACAGG
rnacentral:rRNA from 1 species